rnacentral:rRNA from 1 species
CGUUGUUCGGAAUUACUGGGCGUAAAGGGCGCGUAGGCGGCCUUCUAAGUCGAACGUGAAAUCCCCGGGCUCAACCCGGGAACUGCGUCCGAUACUGGAAGGCUUGAAUCCGGGAGAGGGAUGCGGAAUUCCAGGUGUAGCGGUGAAAUGCGUAGAUAUCUGGAGGAACACCGGUGGCGAAGGCGGGUCUCUGGGCCGAUACUGACGCUGAGGAGCGAAAGCGUGGGGAGCGAACAGG